CCGAACCGACUAAUGUUGAAAAAUUAGCGGAUGACCUGUGGCUGGGGGUGAAAGGCCAAUCAAACCGGGAGAUAGCUGGUUCUCCCCGAAAGCUAUUUAGGUAGCGCCUCGUGAAUUCAUCUCCGGGGGUAGAGCACUGUUUCGGCUAGGGGGCCAUCCCGGCUUACCAACCCGAUGCAAACUGCGAAUACCGGAGAAUGUUAUCACGGGAGACACACGGCGGGUGCUAACGUCCGUCGUGAAGAGGGAAACAACCCAGACCGCCAGCUAAGGUCCCAAAGUCAUGGUUAAGUGGGAAACGAUGUGGGAAGGCCCAGACAGCCAGGAUGUUGGCUUAGAAGCAGCCAUCAUUUAAAGAAAGCGUAAUAGCUCACUGGUCGAGUCGGCCUGCGCGGAAGAUGUAACGGGGCUAAACCAUGCACCGAAGCUGCGGCAGCGACAC
rnacentral:rRNA from 3 species